rnacentral:rRNA from 1 species
AACGUAGGUUCCGAGCGUUAUCCGGAUUUACUGGGCGUAAAGCGUGUUCAGGCGGCUCAGCAAGUCGGGCAUGAAAUCUCUCGGCUCAACCGGGAGAGGCUGUCCGAUACUGCUGGGCUUGAGGGCAGUAGAGGGUGGUGGAAUUCCGGGUGUAGUGGUGAAAUGCGUAGAUAUCCGGAGGAACACCAGUGGCGAAAGCGGCCACCUGGACUGUACCUGACGCUCAAACACGAAAGCUAGGGGAGCGAACGGG